UUGACUGGGGCGGUCUCCUCCUAAAGAGUAACGGAGGAGCACGAAGGUUGGCUAAUCCUGGUCGGACAUCAGGAGGUUAGUGCAAUGGCAUAAGCCAGCUUGACUGCGAGCGUGACGGCGCGAGCAGGUGCGAAAGCAGGUCAUAGUGAUCCGGUGGUUCUGAAUGGAAGGGCCAUCGCUCAACGGAUAAAAGGUACUCCGGGGAUAACAGGCUGAUACCGCCCAAGAGUUCAUAUCGACGGCGGUGUUUGGCACCUCGAUGUCGGCUCAUCACAUCCUGGGGCUGAAGUAGGUCCCAAGGGUAUGGCUGUUCGCCAUUUAAAGUGGUACGCGAGCUGGGUUUAGAACGUCGUGAGACAGUUCGGUCCCUAUCUGCCGUGGGCGCUGGAGAACUGAGGGGGGCUGCUCCUAGUACGAGAGGACCGGAGUGGACGCAUCACUGGUGUUCGGGUUGUCAUGCCAAUGGCACUGCCCGGUAGCUAAAUGCGGAAGAGAUAAGUGCUGAAAGCAUCUAAGCACGAAACUUGCCCCGAGAUGAGUUCUCCCUGACUCCUUGAGAGUCCUGAAGGAACGUUGAAGACGACGACGUUGAUAGGCCGGGUGUGUAAGCGCAGCGAUGCGU
rnacentral:rRNA from 1 species